rnacentral:snoRNA from 1 species
ACUGCAAUUGUUAGAACUUGGAGUUUAAGCUGCUGGCUGGCCAGUGAACUCACGAGUAUAGGUAUUGUACUACAUGACCCAUGAGUCUUUCACUAUCACCACAAGGGUCUCUGGACCAAUAAGUGGAGUAUGAUAGUAAUUCUUGCUACAAGU